UCCCUGGUGGCUCAGAGGUUAAAGUGUCUGCCCCCAAUGCAGAAGACCCAGGUUCGAUCCCUGGGUCGGGAA
rnacentral:tRNA from 1 species